AGGCUCUCUGACAAACCUGAUCCUGAUGUCCCUGGGACUACAAUAGAAGACAAUGACAGUACCUCUGUUAUUAAGAAAAUAUGUAAAGAUGCAGAAAUGAUGAUAAAUGACAUAGACUAUAUCCACGAGGAAACUUCAUCACAGUUUUUAUAUCAGAGCAAGCAAGCCAGAAGAAGUGUAAAGAAGAGCAUUCGGAAACUUUUAGGAAGAUGUGAAGUUGUUUGUUCUCAGGGAGAGCCACUAGAUAAUACCUCUGAAGGACAAAUACCCAUAAAGAAAGUAACUCAAGACCAAGAAAAAGUAAGUGUGACAGUGAAUAUAAAAGUGUCCAUCUUCAGCCUCCCUCUGAGGACUCAAAUGAAGAAAAAUGGGUGCGGCUAGUUGCAACACAGUAUUCAUUUCUUAACCAGUACCUCAGGGAAAGAUUAAAGGAGAAGAUGAAAGAAGGUAUU